AGGGUAUCUCACUGGAGAUCCCUGCCUAGUGGUGGUCUUCUGAAGAUACAGAAUGUGAAACUUUACUAUACUAGUCUUGUCCUCAUUCUUCUGUAGGGGAGAACCUGUGAAAGAAGACUGCAGCAGUGAAAGUUUGGGGUAUUUUCUGCGUCUCUGGAGCUGACUUCUGUGAGCAGACGAAGGACAAGCAGACAGCACAAGUGUCUAUAGCUCGGGGUUUUGAAAUGGCAAGGCAUACUGUUCAAGGAUCUCUCUACCAAUUUUAACUAACAAACAUGGCGUGCUCUGGCCAAUAUUAUGGACAGCAACAAAGAAGAGUACACUUUGUCUCACCAGUCUCAUGGUUACAGCUGUAUUUGGCUAAGACCUGUAGGUGGUUAUAGACUUUGACUCAGUGGCUGGGCUUGGAUGGGAGCCUUCUGGCUUACACUCCUAUGCUCCAACCAUCUAAUCCUUUAGCCCAAAGGAAACUGUGGUGUCCCUGCAGACCAUUGAAUAGAUGCCCCAGGGGAACAGAAGAUUGAGCAUGCUGCCCUUCAGCCAUUGGCACUAAUUUGCCAACUUAGUAGAGAUGACAAAAGAUGAAGUGGGGAGUCCACACCCAUCUCAGGUAAAAGAAUUGCCUGUUUCAAGAUAACUGGAAAACACUGAUAGGACAAAAUAGAUGGGAGAAGAACAAGACUACUUUGUUGUCUUGUGGACUUCAGUCAAAGAACUAGAUCAAUGUUUUCUCACCAUAGGUGGGUUUGAUAUUCUGCCUUCUCUUUGAGCAUAAAGCAGAAAACAAAUGCUUCCCUUUAACCUGUAAAUGCUAGGAGGACUUUGUAUGGACACGCUUAUUUUAGAAGGAAGAAAGUUCAGAGUCACUGUAGACUAAGUUAGAAAAAGAGGAGAUAAAUUGAAUUGGCUUCCCAAACCACCCAGAUUGUACUCCACAAAGGAGUCUGUGUAUUCUUACCAAGGUCAAUUGAUUUAAAAUAAUAAUAAUAAUUAACAAAAAUCUUUGAUUGUGGAUUCUCGUCUCUUUCUAACCUUAUCUUAAAUAAGGAGAUAUCUGGGUUGGUGCUCUAUUUUGCCUAGUACAUUAGCUCUGAAUUUGAAACUUUAAGAAAACUGUGAAAUUGGAUUAGUUUCCAGGGAAUUAUUUGUAAUGCCUAUUCUGUUAUAGAAAGAAAUCUCUUUUAAAAACAUGA